CAGCAAAAUAGCACGAUGUCUUGGAUUUUGUAAUAAAAAGAAUGAAGCUCACUUGGCCGCCAUAUUUGAACUUUGAAGUCGCUCAUGACUGCUGCUAUGCGCGCAAAUUCAAGUCCAAAUGUGCUUUUAACAACCAUACGCAUUUUUUACUGGAGUGAGGAUUCUAGAUAGGGAAGACUACAACUUUUAUUGGUAAACUGAAGAGAUGGGUAUCAUUACUCACAC